GUUGGCGGUGUGCUUAUGCAUGCAAGUCGUACGAGGAUUUUCGGAUUGUAACCGAGUGGCGAACGGCUGAGUAACACGUAAGUAACCUGCCUGCAAGGUGGGGAAUAACCUGUCGAAAGGCAGGCUAAUACCGCAUAUGAUAAUCGAGUGUUGCUUGAUUAUUAAAGCCUUAGGGUGCUUGGAGAUGGGCGUGCGUCUGAUUAGCUAGUUGGUGAGGUAAUGGCUUACCAAGGCGAUGAUCAGUAGCUGGUCUGAGAGGAUGGUCAGCCAGAUGGGGAUUGAGAUACGGCCCCAACUCCUACGGGAGGCAGCAGCAAGGGAUAUUGGGCAAUGGGCGAAAGCCUGACCCAGCGACACCGCGUGAGGGAGGAAGGCCUUCGGGUUGUAAACCUCUUUUCUCGAGGAAGAAUUUUGACGGUACUCGAGGAAUAAGCCUCGGCUAACUACGUGCCAGCAGCCGCGGUAAGACGUAGGAGGCGAACGUUAUCCGGAUUUACUGGGCGUAAAGAGAGCGUAGGCGGCUUUUUAAGUCAAGUGUGAAAUCUUGUGACUCAAUCAGAAGAAGCCGCUUGAUACUGGAUGGCUUGAGGGAAGCAGAAGGAAAUGGAAUUCCCAGUGUAGCGGUGAAAUGCGUUGAUAUUGGGAAGAACACCAGUGGCGAAGGCGAUUUCCUAGGCUUUUCCUGACGCUGAGGCUCGAAAGCGUGGGGAGCGAAGCGGAUUAGAUACCCCGUAGUCCCGCCUUAAACGGUGGACAUUAGGUAUGGGGAGACGACCCUCUCCGUGUCGAAGCUAACGCUUUAAUGUCCCCGCCUGGGGAGUACGCCGCAAGGCUAAAACUCAAGAUAAGUUGAGACG
rnacentral:rRNA from 1 species